rnacentral:misc_RNA from 1 species
GCUCACUAUUGCUAAUGUGCGGCCCGAAAAGAGUAAGAUAAUCCCAAACCAAAGCUACGGCGGACCGGACUUUUCUGCUAAGAGGUCGUCACUUCCUAGCCUUCCUAACUUGCCUUCAGAGCUUUAUUCAUUCGAUACUUCUUCUUCAAUUGAGCUCCUUCUUAUAAAGGAUGUUCUAUGAGUUGUUUUACGUUGCUUGUAGGUGUUAUCGGAGAUAGCAGCCGUAUCGCUCACGUAG